AGUGAACGCUGGCGGCAUGCCUAAUACAUGCAAGUCGAGCGAAAACACGGUAAGCUUGUGCUUCUACCGGUGGCGAGUGACGGACGGGUAACGAAUACAUCGCAUACUUCUAUUUCGUGGGUGACAUCGUAGAGAAACUGACGCUAAUAGCGCAUACGUCCUACGGGUUAAAUCAAGAGUUCUUCGCAGUUUGCGUGUCUGUAUGAGCUGAUGCCGCGUCGGAUUAGCUAGUUGGUAAGGUAACGGCUUACCAAGGCAACGAUGCGUAGCUGAGCUGAGAGGAUGAUCGGCCACACUGGAACUGAGACACGGUCCAGACUCCUACGGGAGGCAGCAGUAGGGAAUCUUCCGCAAAGGGCGAAAGCCUGAUCGAGCCAUGCCGCGUGAGUGAAGAAGGCCUUCGGGUUGUAAAGCCCUUUUAUUAGGGAAGAAAAACUGUAUAUUUAUCUCCGGCUGUCCUGACGGUACCUAAACAGAAAGCCCCGGCUAACUUCGUG
rnacentral:rRNA from 1 species